rnacentral:rRNA from 1 species
GAGCCUUUACGUUUUAGCACGCAGGAUAGUCGAACGGAAUGGAAAGUCCGGCCGUAGCAGGUGAUAGCCCUGUAGACGAAAUUCUGUGUGUGGAACUAAGCGUAAGACAAGUAGGGCGGGACACGUGAAAUCCUGUUUGAAGAUGGGGGGACCAUCCUCCAAGGCUAAAUACUCGUGAUCGACCGAUAGUGAACCAGUACCGUGAGGGAAAGGCGAAAAGAACCCCGGAAGGGGAGUGAAAUAGAUCCUGAAACCGUAUGCAUACAAACAGUAGGAGCCUCCUUGUGGGGUGACUGCGUACCUUUUGUAUAAUGGGUCAGCGACUUACAUUCAGUGGCAAGGUUAACCGAAUAGGGAAGCCGUAGCGAAAGCGAGUCCGAAUAGGGCGAUUUAGUCGCUGGGUGUAGACCCGAAACCAGAUGAUCUAUCCAUGGCCAGGUUGAAGGCACGGUAACACGUGCUGGAGGACCGAACCCACUAAUGUUGAAAAAUUAGGGGAUGAGCUGUGGAUAGGGGUGAAAGGCUAAACAAAUCUGGAAAUAGCUGGUUCUCUCCGAAAACUAUUUAGGUAGUGCCUCAAGUAUUACUGCGGGGGGUAGAGCACUGUUAUAGCUAGGGGGUCAUGGCGACUUACCAAACUAUGGCAAACUCCGAAUACCCGCAAGUACAGCUUGGGAGACAGAGCACCGGGUGCUAACGUCCGGACUCAAGAGGGAAACAACCCAGACCGCCAGCUAAGGUCCCGAAUUAUCGCUAAGUGGGAAACGAAGUGGGAAGGCAUAGACAGUCAGGAGGUUGGCUUAGAAGCAGCCAUCCUUUAAAGAAAGCGUA